UUGGUGAGUGGUUAGUCCCUGAACCUUCUCUAACCCCUGGAACAGGGGCGUUGUAGGACCAGCGUGGCAGACGUCCAUAUCUCCUCAUCCAACCUGGCCUCAUCGGUUAAAACUGCUGCACGGCCACGGCCGGUGCUCCCACUCAUGGACUAUGCCUGCCAGCUAUGUGUACUUGGACCUAAAGAUGUGUGUGGAUUACUGAGCAGAAGAUCACCUUGACUAUGACCAGUCAUAGAGAGCCGUGGGCUGUGGAGCUGAGAAGAGAGGCUUGCUUCUCCCCCCACCAAACACCUCCAUCACCCGCCUCUACCCCCAGGCUUGGGGUUCUCCUGAGGUUGAGGGUAGGACUGACUGAUGAGGUCCCAGCCUCUGUAAUGACAUAGGACAAGGCCUUCCCGUUUUCUUUGAAAAGAGAGGAGAAGGUUGUUCAUCUCUGGGUACUCUAACCCCCUGUCUUUCAACCACUUCCUCUGACCCACAAUCCCUACAUUUCUCAACUCUAUUGCCUCAUGGCCAUUUCCAGUACCCUGGUGUGUUGGCAGUUCUCAGCUGCAGCAUGAACUCCAGAACACUAAUCUGUAUUUGUAGUUAUACCAGCG
ensembl:lncRNA